rnacentral:miRNA from 1 species
UAGGAUCGGAGACGCAGUGAA